UCAAGCUGUAAAGGGCGCAAGGGGAAUGCCUUGGCACUGAGAGCCGACGAAGGACGCGACAAGCUGCGAUAAGCUACGGGGAGCCGCAAAUGGGCUUUGAUCCGUGGAUUUCCGAAUGGGGAAACCCGAUGGAGCAAUACUCCAUCAACCAUGACUGAAUACAUAGGUGUACGUGGGGAACCGCCUGAACUGAAACAUCUAAGUAGGGCGAGGAAGAGAAAUCAACCGAGAUUCCGCUAGUAGUGGCGAGCGAACGCGGAAGAGGCCAAACCGGAGGUAGCAAUAUUUCCGGGGUUAGGACUGCAAUAUGUAACUUUAAUCUUUAACUGAAUGCUUUGGGAAGAGCAGCGAUACAGGGUGAUAGCCCCGUAAGUGAAAAGGAUUGAGUGCUAGCAGUAUCCAGAGUACCAGCGGACACGUGAAACCCGCUGGGAAGAUGGGGGGACCAUCCUCCAAGCCUAAAUACUACUCAGUGACCGAUAGUGGAGCAGUACCGUGAGGGAAAGGUGAAAAGUACCCCGGGAGGGGAGUGAAAAAGAACCUGAAACCUUGUGCCUACAAGCACCGAGAGUCCGUUAAUGGAUGAUCGGGUACUUUUUGUAGAACGGUCCGGCGAGUUAAUAUUUGCAGCGAGGUUAAGGAACUGGAGUUCCGGAGCCGCAGCGAGAGCGAGUCUGAAAAGGGCGUAUGAAGUUGCAGGUAUUAGACCCGAAACCGGGUGACCUAUCCAUGAGCAGGCUGAAGCGGUGGUAAGACACCGUGGAGGGCCGCACCCACGUCUGUUGAAAAAGCCGGGGAUGACUUGUGGAUAGCGGAGAAAUUCCAAUCGAACUCGGAGAUAGCUGGUUCUCCCCGAAAUAGCUUUAGGGCUAGCGUUAUUUUAGAUUACCGGAGGUAAAGCACUGAAUGGUCUAGGGGCCGCGAGGUUACCAAAGCCUAUCAAACUCUGAAUGCCGGAUAAUUGAUGAAUAGCAGUCAGACUGUGUGAGAUAAGUCUCAUAGUCAAAAGGGAAACAGCCCAGAUCUACAGCUAAGGUCCCAAAUGAACACUAAGUGGAAAAUGAUGUGAAACUGCGAAGACAACCAGGAUGUUGGCUUAGAAGCAGCCACUCAUUCAAAGAGUGCGUAAUAGCUCACUGGUCGAGUGGUUUUGCGCAGAAAAUGUAACGGGGCUAAGUGUUCAACCGAAGCUUAGGCAUUGCAGCAAUGCAUUGGGUAGGGGAGCGUCGUAUGCGGGGUGAAGUCAGAGCGGAAGCACUGGUGGACUGCAUACGAGUGAGAAUGCCGGAAUAAGUAGCGAGAAUUAUGUGAGAAUCAUAAUGGCCGAAAAUCUAAGGUUUCUUGGGGAAGGUUCGUCCGCCCAAGGUUAGUCGGGAGCUAAGCUCAGGCCGAAAGGCGUAGGCGAUGCACAUACGGUAGAAAUUCCGUAACCACCGAACAUUUAAGCUAGAGGGACGCUUUCUUUAAGUCUAUCCCGGGCGAUGGUUGCCCCGGGCGUAAGGGACCGAAAUUUAGUAGGGAAGUAACUGGCGAGAGAGACGAGAAAAGCUCUAGUGUAUACUAAGGUGCCCGUACCGCAAACCGACACAGGUAGAUGGGAUGAGUAUUCUAAGGCCAACGGGAGAAGGGUUGUUAAGGAACUCGGCAAAUUGGCCCCGUAACUUCGGGAUAAGGGGCGCCUGCGAGAGCAGGCCGCAGUGAAAAGGCCCAAGCGACUGUUUAGCAAAAACACAGCUCUCUGCUAAAUCGAAAGAUGACGUAUAGGGGGUGACGCCUGCCCGGUGCUGGAAGGUUAAGGGGAGUGCUUAGCGCAAGCGAAGGUGCGAACUUAAGCCCCAGUAAACGGCGGCCGUAACUAUAACGGUCCUAAGGUAGCGAAAUUCCUUGUCAGGUAAGUUCUG
rnacentral:rRNA from 1 species